rnacentral:rRNA from 1 species
UACGUAGGGUGCAAGCGUUAAUCGGAAUUACUGGGCGUAAAGCGUGCGCAGGCGGUUUUGUAAGUCUGUCGUGAAAUCCCCGGGCUCAACCUGGGAAUUGCGAUGGAGACUGCAAGGCUAGAAUCUGGCAGAGGGGGGUAGAAUUCCACGUGUAGCAGUGAAAUGCGUAGAGAUGUGGAGGAACACCGAUGGCGAAGGCAGCCCCCUGGGCCAAUACUGACGCUCAUGCACGAAAGGCGUGGGGA